GUCAUGUAGUUUAUGAUAGGCUUCUAUGGGUAGUUCUUGCGCCUGGCUUGGUACCGCUUCUAUCGCAGAUCCAACACAUGCCCCGGUCGAGGUAGUGCCUUCAACAGACGAAUUUCGCCCAAGAGGCCAAUCACGAUGUAAGCCAAGGGGGCAUGCACCAAUGAGAGGGACCUAAUGGGCGAGCGAUUGGGUUUGGGACGGGUGUACUACUAGCGAAAGUGCCGAGUGGACAACAUUCGAAGCGUAUGCACCCCCCGGUUGGCGAUGGGUAUCCUUAGUCCCAACUCCUGAGAUGAAACACCAAGGGAGCCAAGAUUCGUUAUGCGGUUCUGUCCGUUCACAUUAAUAUGCUGAUUUUCAGGUCGUCCCAACUUGAUGGGGAAAUAAACGCGGGGUAGGAUCGUUUCACCCUUCGGCUAUUUUGAUUACCUAUAAGCACGAGUAUUUCCUUUACUAUCCCCAGUGGAGUCGCCAUUGUGAGGGGGUCGAAAAAGCACGAGGCUAAUGCGUGACCUCGUCCCUCGUGGGUGUGAUAUUUCUUUUUGUCAAAUCAAGUGUAAUUGGAUUUCCUGUGAGUUUACACCCAAUUGACUAGUAAUAUAGGAGUCUCCAUUCAGUUUUUAACGACAAUGAGAAAAACUGACAAAACCGGGUUAUCGUGACAUAAAGGGAGUGCAAUUAUGUUUAAACCACGACGGUCGUAGGGUCCCUUGUGAUCCCUGGUGUGGGGAUUUCUCAACAUACACCCGCAAGGUAGAGAUUGAGGGUUCGGGGGGACUGUAACUACCGAGAGGAGUACUCGCUCUUCGAUAACUCCAGAGGCAGGAUAUCCUUACCAGCUCAGCAUAAAUAAUUGAAGGGACAUGCGUUAACUAUUAAACUAAUAUGAGUUGGUUUUAACAAUAUGCAACAUAUAGUACUAGAUCGAGCGCGAUUAUCUGAUUUAGAUUGUAUUAAGGGACCUAGCAUGAUAAUUCAAUUUCCCAAAAUAUUAUCUUUAUUAGGCGUGAUAGAAAAAUCAGAUUUAAUUAGUUUAACAGUUCACAAAAGGGCGAGGAAAGCAAUUAAACCAUGGAAAAGGGACACAUUACGACGCACCCUUGAGAGGUGCGUCACGGUUCUCAUAAAACUAACCACUUUUACUUUGCUAUUUCUCCUUUUAUUUAACGAAUCUCAAAUUAUGGGACGGGAUACGUUCUGUUCGAUUUAUGGAUCGAUUGCGACAAAAUGCGUGAGGCUUAGGCUUAGGGGUUUAGAGUCAAUACUCAGAAUAAUAAUUGUGUGUUGUGUGUCCUUUUUUCACGUCGAACUUGGGCUAUAUUUAUAGAAAAGAGUUCGUGGAAAGAUAGAAUUGUAGAGCUGUAAUCCACGAGGAAUUAGGAAAGAACACGUCCCAGGUAAUUUCAGCGCCCAGGCCUGGGCGCCGAAGAUUUCGGCGCCCAUAGCCAGGCGUUGAAAAUAGGAUCUGGGCUAUUUUCUUAGUCAGAUUCGGAUUCCUAGAAUCUGGAGUAUUUGAGACUUUAAUCGAGUCUUUUAGUGCGUAUUAACCUUGUGACGGAAUGCGUCUGGGCCCGUUACGAACUCUAGGCUCGUUAGGAUUUUAAUUAAUACGUAACUCUUACUUUCGAAUCAUAUUAGGAAUAGGAUUCUCUCGCAAUUUCUAUCUCAUUUAGGAUUUAUGUUGGAGUGCAACACCUAAUUCUGACAGGUUUCUAUCUUUUAUGACUUGCCACUUUUAACAACUACCCAUUACGGCAGUUACUAUUUUUAGCAGGUUCCCAUAAAUAGCAGGCUUCUAUAAAUAGUAGGUUUCGGGUGAAAUGAAAAGGGGAAUUGAGAUUCGUUAUUUUAUAGGAGAUGCGUUGUCAAGUGGAGAUUUAUGUUUUCAUCAUCGAACCUUCCCUUUCGGGAAUGGGGACAAAAGUAGGUGUCUACAGGAUGUGUGUGCUUAAUUUCUCUUGGAUGUUUAUAGGAAUAGUUCUCUAUGUGUUGUGUUGGGCCAAAGUUCAGUGCUUUCAAGGAAUUUUUUUAGUGAUUAUAUUUGCAGAUGGUCUAUUUGAUCUCUAAAUGAGUAAUACAAGGUUGGGUAUUGAUCAUCAUAGGUUUUCUUAGCUUUGGACUGGAAAUUCACUGCAGCUCUUGCUGAUGAUGUCUGGUCUUAAUUUAAAAUUGCUGAUCUUGUAAGAUGGACUUCAAAUUAUCGAGAAAGGUUAUUUUUUACAGGUCAUAAUCUAAAUCUUUAGAGGUCCAUCUUUUUGUUUGGAGUACUGUGAAGUCAUAUACUCAUUAGGUUUAAGAGGGUUACACAGCUUUGUGUCCAUCGAGUUUAGCAUCUUCUAGUUGUAGGAAAAUUGUCAAAUGACUCAAAUCCUAUUUCUUAUACGCACCUACAGAUUCUGCAACAUAGUUUGGACCUUCCAUCUUACAAGAUGGAAUGCUAAAAAUUGAUGAGUUGCAGGAGAAUCUUAAAAUAGUUGCAUACGAGUCUUAGCUUCUCACUCAGUAGUGUGGUCAGGCCGUAUAUAAUGUUAUGAUAAGUUCUUCACAUUUUGUGUUGUAGAGUUGUUUUUGCUCACCCAAUUUCCUUUGACUGUUGUUGGGGAUACUAAAAACUUAUGAACUUGUGGAACUUCACUUACAUUGUGACAAAACCAUUCUCCCAUUAGAUUUGGUUGCGGCGUUAUUCUUGAAAAAUAAGAAUUAUCGAAAUAAGAAAUCAGACAGACUGUUUUAUUGAGAGCUAGUGUUAUUCAUACAUAAACAUUCAUAACGAAGUAGGGAUAAUAUCUUCUUUUUAAAUUUCCUGUAAAUGGCCUCGGUAAUUAGCUACCAUGUUCAUCUUUGAACCGUGUUUCUUGUAUAGGUUUAGUCAUUACCUGUUCAGGCUUAAAAAUCGGUAAAUCUAUAAUGGACAUCAUGUCCCUCCGUUAUCAUAUGGAUUAAUUGCCUCAAGCUUAGCUCUAUAAUAUAGAUGUGUGUGUGUCUCUCUAGUCACAAUGCAGAAGAAAAAAGAACCAUAAUCUUUCAGAGUCGAUAUCAAGUGAUUUGUCUUCUGUUCUCAGUACCUUUGACCUUGUGCUUAAUGAUGCUAUCAUCGUUUGACAUCUCAUCUCCAUUGUUUAUGUGAUUUUUCUAUUAGCAAUCGAGAUAAACUCCUGCAGAACUGUUUCAGAUCACACACAAAAAAUAGUUAGUUCAACAUUUAUCUUACAUUUUAAAGAAAAGAGUGAGAAAAUAUCAGGGGUAGAAUCCUGAAUAUAUCUCUUUAUAUAUUCCUGAUUCUCUAGCAGGUUUUGAUACUUCCACAACACAAUUUUUUGGUGCCACUUCAAUUAUCUCAGCCAAAAGGUUAAAAGAUGAACGAAACUUUGAUUUUAGUUGUAUUUGCAUCGUGCUGUUACUCAUCCAUUCAACUGAAAGACUUGCACCCCUUGCUGCUUUCUCUAUAUUUUCUAUCAGUGAUUGUUUAUUUUGAUCCCAGCAUUAUCAUGUUGUUUUUGUCGUCCUGUUUUUCAAGAUACCAAUUAAUCUAAUGAGUGCAGUUCUUAUUAGUAAAAUUUACUACUUUAGUUGAGAAAAUAACUAGAGAAUCCUCAUUAAUCAGAUUUAAGGGGCAAAACAUAUUUUGGUUUCAUGUUUGUAGACUUGCCUGCUCUUCAAAUAGGGUUGACAAAUCAAGGUCUCUAGAUAUUGCGACCAGUUGGAAGGCAUUGAUAAAUCCUUGAGUUUCAGGGAAAAUUUCUUCUUCUGAACUUUCCUAAAAAAAAGGCUUGGCAAUUAGUUAGCAUGUUCAUAUUUGAACAGCACGUGUUUCUUGUAUAGGUUUAGUCAUUACCUUUUCAGGCUCAAAAACUGCUCGAACGUCAUCUGUGUAGCUCUUUCCUUGAAAGUAAAUUCCUGCAGCAGGCUUAUAAUCUCUCUGAAACCACUCAUCUUCAACAAAUUCUGCUACUGUAAUUCUCUGCAGAAAAACAGGAGUCGAGGAUGGUUAGAUCAAUCUGUUGUUUUUCAGUGAUCCUAUACUUUUAUAUGAAUUUAAAUCGUAUACCUUUUUUCAAUGGGGAUUCAAUAAUCUGCCAAUAAGUUGCUUCAGACUUGGUGUAAACCAAUUUGGACAUUCAUACUCAACUCUCAAUAUCUAUGCAGAGGAAACUUUGUCAGAUGAAGAGUUCUUUUGUAUGAUAAAAAGUGUUUUGCUGUUUAUUUUGUGAGGGGAAAUACCUUUGUGUACAAAUUCGAUAGAUUUGAGUCAAUGAAUGGUAGUUAACCAGCACACAACUCAAAUAAGAUCACUCCACAAGCCCAGACAUAUGCAACUGCUCACUAUUAAGUUUUCUUGUUCAGUACAUGUCAAUUAGACAAUAUUGAAGUUAGUUCUUUAAUUUCAACAAUGUCGGACCAUUGUAUCUUAUCACUUAUCAGACUUUUUUUUUGAUUGAAAACAGUUUCCUCUUACCUCAGGUGCUACAUAGCUUGGAGAACCACAUGCUGUCAACAACAAACUUCCAGGCUGUAGGCAUCAGUUCAGAAAUUAGUUUUCUGGCUACAUAGUAAAUGAAACAUGUCAAUUGGGUCAGUCAGCUGGUUUGAGUUCUUAUUUGGAUCGGGCAAUCUAAUGGAGUUCAGAGUUCAGUAUAGCUACAUCUUUCAUCUAUUUACAAUACCUUUAAAUCAAUGUGAUAAACUCCUCUGGAAUGGCAGUAGUCUACUGCUGGAAGUAUUUUGUUGCAUCACUUUACUUCUCCAAGUAAGUCUUUACAUUCGAGUAUAGAGUCAGAUAAACUAGAACCUUCGAACUUCCAAGAAACAAUAUAUGAUCAAGUUAUAGUUAUCUAGUGUUCUUACCAAUUUGUCAGAGAGUUGUCGUCCUGCUGCAUAUUCCAUGACUAUGUAAAUCUUUGUCUUUGAGCCGAUAACCUAUGAUCAGAUAGUUAGCAAGUUAAAAACUUCAUUCUUUCACCUAAAAACAUACAGAGCAAGUUUGUGUAAUGAAAUAAGAGCACUUGCCUCGUGUAUCCUUACAUUGUCCACAUGAUUCAACAACUUCAUCUUUCUGAUUUCUCUCUGCACCUGUUCUAGCAAACAUAUAUAUAUUAUGAUGAACUCUCUAAGUAUGAUGUGAUUUUCAAAAGGUAACUAACGCAUCAUAUUCACGUUCCUUUUGAAAAUAUCUUAGUUGGCUGGAAUCUAGUCAUGUGAAUUGCAGCACAAAUAGAUUUCCUAGGAAUAGGAACCUUAACUUAUAAAGUUAGAGAUAUCAAAGACUGGACAUGGUAUCUAAACAUAUAGCGAAAGAGUUUCUCAUUAUUUCACUUUGUGUCAUUUGUUUCUGGUUACAUUUUAGAAUACAGUCAAGACGUGGUUGGAUUUUCCAUAUUGUAUACAGGUGCUCCCUUGCCGAGUUGUCUGUACCCAGGUAAGGCCUUUGGUAUUUGUUGUGCGAUAUAUGGAGUAGUUUGAAUGAAACUGUUGUCUGGCUCAAUGUGGUUAAGUGUUCGUUAAUUGUUGGUAUUUCUUUUUAUUAUAUGUGUGGUUAAGUGUCCUCGUUCUCAACAAGUUGGGCUAGUUGAGUCCGGCUAUUAUGUCAUGAAGUAUAUGGAUCAAAUAGUAUCGCUUGUAUCGAAAAAGGAACGUGAUUUUCAAAAGCAUUUCACUCUGGAGGCAUAUACUCAAGAAAUUAUCGAUGAUGUUCCUGAAAGAUGGUGUAGAUUUUUCAUUGAUAAUUUUUUAUAGUUAAUUAAUUUCAGUUUGACACUUAGUUGACAUAAACUUCUCAAAUUCAUGUCCAUGAUUUUCUAAUAUGUAAAUAUACAAAAGUAUUAUGUAUGUCUUUUAUCAAUUUUUGAG